rnacentral:lncRNA from 1 species
GGGUGAAGCUUGCUUAUUGAAUGGUGGCCGACUCGACUCGACUGGAGCUCCUUCCUUCUUUUACUUCUUCUUCUUCUGACUUUUGCCUUCUGUUUGGCGUCGGUCAGAAGCUCCUUCAUCUAUGUGCAUAUAUUUGUAUGCACGCUCCAGAAGUUCAGCAUAAGUCCGAGGGAGAGUUUUGUCUAAAGAAUAUGUAAAUCGAGAUCUCCUCAGAUCUCUUUUCAUGAUCGAGAU